CAAAGGUUUGGUCCUGGCCUUCCUAUUGAUUAUUAACAGAAUUACACAUGCAAGUCUCUACAUCCCGGUGAAAAUGCCCUCUAAAUCUACUUAUCGAUUAAAAGGAGCGGGUAUCAAGCACACUAAUUAGUAGCUCAUAACGCCUUGCUCGACCACACCCCCACGGGAUACAGCAGUGAUAAAAAUUAAGCCAUGAACGAAAGUUUGACUAAGCCAUGUUAACACAGAGAGCUGGUAAAUUUCGUGCCAGCCACCGCGGUCAUACGAUUAGCCCGAACCAAUAGGCAAACGGCGUAAAACGUGCCGCGGUCAUACGAUUAGCCCGAACCAAUAGGCAAACGGCGUAAAACGUGUUAAGGACUAUAUUAUACUAAAGUUAAAAUUUAGCAAGGCCGUAAAAAGCUACUGCUAAUACAAGAUAAACCACGAAAGUGACUUUAUUACCUCCAACGACACGAUAGCUGAGACCCAAACUGGGAUUAGAUACCCCACUAUGCUCAGCCCUAAACAUAAAUAAUUCUCACAACAAAAUUAUUUGCCAGAGAACUACUAGCAAUAGCUUAAAACUCAAAGGACUUGGCGGUGCUUUACAUCCCUCUAGAGGAGCCUGUUCUAUAAUCGAUAAACCCCGAUAAACCUCACCACUUCUAGCUAAAUCAGUCUAUAUACCGCCAUCUUCAGCAAACCCUUAAAAGGAAGAAAAGUAAGCACAAUAAUAAUACAUAAAAAAGUUAGGUCAAGGUGUAACCCAUGAAGUGGGAAGAAAUGGGCUACAUUUUCUAAUCAAGAACACACUCACGAAAGUUUUUAUGAAAAUUAAAAACUCAAGGCGGAUUUAGUAGUAAAUUAAGAAUAGAGAGCUUAAUUGAAUAGGGCCAUGAAGCACGCACACACCGCCCGUCACCCUCCUCAAGCAAUACACCCAAACACUACAUAAUAAAACUCACUCAAAGCAAGAGGAGACAAGUCGUAACAAGGUAAGCAUACUGGAAAGUGUGCUUGGGUAAAU
rnacentral:rRNA from 1 species